AUUGAACGCUGGCGGCAGGCCUAACACAUGCAAGUCGAGCGGUAGAGAGGUGCUUGCAUCUCUUGAGAGCGGCGGACGGGUGAGUAAUGCCUAGGAAUCUGCCUAGUGGUGGGGGAUAACGUUCGGAAACGGACGCUAAUACCGCAUACGUCCAACGGGAGAAAGCGGGGGAUCUUCGGACCUCGCGCCAUUAGAUGAGCCUAGGUCGGAUUAGCUAGUUGGUGAGGUAAUGGCUCACCAAGGCGACGAUCCGUAACUGGUCUGAGAGGAUGAUCAGUCACACUGGAACUGAGACACGGUCCAGACUCCUACGGGAGGCAGCAGUGGGGAAUAUUGGACAAUGGGCGAAGACCUGAUCCAGCC
rnacentral:rRNA from 1 species